GACGAACGCUGGCGGCGUGCUUAACACAUGCAAGUCGAACGGAAAGGCCCUGCUUUUGUGGGGUGCUCGAGUGGCGAACGGGUGAGUAACACGUGAGUAACCUGCCCUUGACUUUGGGAUAACUUCAGGAAACUGGGGCUAAUACCGGAUAGGAGCUCCUGCUGCAUGGUGGGGGUUGGAAAGUUUCGGCGGUUGGGGAUGGACUCGCGGCUUAUCAGCUUGUUGGUGGGGUAGUGGCUUACCAAGGCUUUGACGGGUAGCCGGCCUGAGAGGGUGACCGGCCACAUUGGGACUGAGAUACGGCCCAGACUCCUACGGGAGGCAGCAGUGGGGAAUAUUGCACAAUGGGCGGAAGCCUGAUGCAGCAACGCCGCGUGCGGGAUGACGGCCUUCGGGUUGUAAACCGCUUUCGCCUGUGACGAAGCGUAAGUGACGGUAAUGGGUAAAGAAGCACCGGCUAACUACGUGCCAGCAGCCGCGGUGAUACGUAGGGUGCGAGCGUUGUCCGGAUUUAUUGGGCGUAAAGGGCUCGUAGGUGGUUGAUCGCGUCGGAAGUGUAAUCUUGGGGCUUAACCCUGAGCGUGCUUUCGAUACGGGUUGACUUGAGGAAGGUAGGGGAGAAUGGAAUUCCUGGUGGAGCGGUGGAAUGCGCAGAUAUCAGGAGGAACACCAGUGGCGAAGGCGGUUCUCUGGGCCUUUCCUGACGCUGAGGAGCGAAAGCGUGGGGAGCGAACAGGCUUAGAUACCCUGGUAGUCCACGCUGUAAACGGUGGGUACUAGGUGUGGGGUCCAUUCCACGGGUUCCGUGCCGUAGCUAACGCUUUAAGUACCCCGCCUGGGGAGUACGGCCGCAAGGCUAAAACUCAAAGGAAUUGGCGGGGCCCCGCACAAGCGGCGGAGCAUGCGGAUUAAUUCGAUGCAACGCGUAGAACCUUACCUGGGUUUGACAUGGAUCGGGAGUGCUCAGAGAUGGGUGUGCCUCUUUUGGGGUCGGUUCACAGGUGGUGCAUGGCUGUCGUCAGCUCGUGUCGUGAGAUGUUGGGUUAAGUCCCGCAACGAGCGCAACCCUUGUUCACUGUUGCCAGCACGUUAUGGUGGGGACUCAGUGGAGACCGCCGGGGUCAACUCGGAGGAAGGUGGGGAUGACGUCAAGUCAUCAUGCCCCUUAUGUCCAGGGCUUCACGCAUGCUACAAUGGCUGGUACAGAGAGUGGCGAGCCUGUGAGGGUGAGCGAAUCUCGGAAAGCCGGUCUCAGUUCGGAUUGGGGUCUGCAACUCGACCUCAUGAAGUCGGAGUCGCUAGUAAUCGCAGAUCAGCAACGCUGCGGUGAAUACGUUCCCGGG
rnacentral:rRNA from 1 species